GGGAAUGUGGCUUAGUGGUGGUAGAGUGCUUGCCUAGCAUGCAUGAAGCCCUAGGUUUGAUUCCUCAUUACCA
rnacentral:tRNA from 1 species